CAAUAGAUCUGUUGGCCGUGGUGGUUCCCGAAGGCAAUGAGCACCUCCUCCCGGUGACGGCAACGUGGUGGAGGAUCAAGAGGAGUGGCGGGGGCCUCCUGCCAGUGGGUGGUGGCGGGGCAGACAUGAGGUGGAAGGCAGUACGCGGCGUCCUCGACCUCACCGAGCACCCCGUCGGCCAGCCCCUUGCUACCAGCCACGGAGUGGACGGAGAACCUGGUGUAGGCGCCGAGCAGGGCGUCGAGGUGCGGGUCGGGACGCCGUAGUGGAGUGGUUUGGGGGCCGGGUCAUCGUGGGAGGAGGGUACAUUGCUUCUCCCCACCCCCUCAGUGCUCAGCAGGAGGAGCUGCUCGCCGUCGGGCCUCAUGGGAGUGGUCGCCGCCCCGCCAUUUUCGGAUCCGGCCACCGUCGCCAUCUCUAUUCUUGCCCCGUCAUUCCUCAGGGUGAUUCGGGCAACGGGAGGGGAUGGGAGGAGGCGGAGCACGAGGGACGAAGCGACGGGAGGGGAGGGGAAGGGAGGAGGCAGAGCACGCGGGACGAAGCGUGGUGGCGGUGGCGAGUGCAGGGAAGAUGGGUGUGGCGAAUGGGAGGACGAAGAGGCGAGAUAGGC
rnacentral:rRNA from 1 species